GAAAAUACCUGGCAGGGGAGAUACCAUGGUCACGAAGGUGGUUCUCCUAGUGCAAGGUUCAUCCAUUGCACUGCGGAUGUGCUAACCCCUGCGAUUUUCCCAAAUGUGGGAAACUUGACUGCAUAAUUUGUGGUAGUGGGGGACUGUGUUCAUACUUUCCCCUA
rnacentral:snRNA from 1 species